UCGGUCCCUAUCUGCCGUGGGCGCUGGAGAAUUGAGGGGGGCUGCUCCUAGUACGAGAGGACCGGAGUGGACGCAUCACUGGUGUUCGGGUUGUCAUGCCAAUGGCACUGCCCGGUAGCUAAAUGCGGAAGAGAUAAGUGCUGAAAGCAUCUAAGCACGAAACUUGCCCCGAGAUGAGUUCUCCCUGAGACUAUAAGUCUCCUGAAGGAACGUUGAAGACGACGACGUUGAUAGGCCGGGUGUGUAAGCGCAGCGAUGCGUUGAGCUAACCGGUACUAAUGAACCGUGAGGCUUAACCUU
rnacentral:rRNA from 1 species